rnacentral:lncRNA from 1 species
AGUUUAUGCGCCUAUUCAUUUUUAUAUUUACUAAUUCAUUCUCAUUUGAUUAGAAAAUAAAAGUAUCAUAGAAAAACGUGCCUAUAUAUAUAUUUUGGAUUACCUGAGUAAAAAUUAUUAUAUCACAUACACGACAAGAAAUGAAAUUAACUGUGAUGGUUGGGGAAGCGAAAAUAGAAGUUGCUAUUCGUGUUAUAAAAAAAAACUGUUAGAGAAUCUUGAUACUAUCAAUUUUGAUUAUGUAAAAGAAAAAAUGGGUGAAAAAUCAUUUCCAGAUACAUGCAAAGAAGAAAUAGACAGAAAAUUCAAAGAAUUAGGGAUAUUGAAGUUUUUAGUCUUAAAAAUGUUUCAAAAUAGCCAUGAAGACGUGAAGGAUAAUAUAAAAUACAAAUAUCCUUUAAAAAUUGUUAUUACUGGAAAGAUAAAAAAGGGUAUAUAAUAAAUGACAGUAAAUAGCACAUAUUAGUAUUGUGCAGUAGUAAUAUACAGUAGUAGUAAUAUACAAUAGUAGUAAUAUACAAUAGUAGUAUUAUUAAUAUAUCGCAAUAUCAAUGAAAUGUGUUCAACAUGUAUGUGAUAAAUAUAUUUAGUGGUAUGUGGUAGACGUAAACUUAUAAAGAGGGAGAAAAAAAAAAAAAAAAAAAUUUUGAAGUUGACAACUAUAAGUACUUUAUUUUAUUUUUUUUUGCAGAAACUGAACUUAUAGCUAAGUAUUUAAAAAAAAGAUUUUGUUUAAAGUUAUAUAAUUUUAAUAAUAUACAAAAGGAGCUCCAAGUUAUUUUCAUUAAACAUAACAUCAAAAACGGUAGGACGGAACAAGAAUUAAAAAUAGAAAUAAAAAAAUAAUAGCAUAAAUAUAGAAAUUAAA